CCGAGUUUACAACUCCCAAACCCAAUGUGAACAUACCAACUUGUUGCCUCGGCGGGAUCACGCCCGGGCGUCGCAGCCCGGUAAACAGGACGCCCGCCAGGAGGACCACCUAAACUCUCUGUAGUCCCUCGGAGUAUUCUUACAGCUCUGAGUAAAACUCAUAAAUGAAUCA
rnacentral:misc_RNA from 1 species